UAGGGAAUCUUCGGCAAUGGGGGCAACCCUGACCGAGCAACACCGCGUGAGUGAAGAAGGUUUUCGGAUCGUAAAGCUCUGUUGUAAGAGAAGAACGUGUGUGAGAGUGGAAAGUUCACACAGUGACGGUAACUUACCAGAAAGGGACGGCUAACUACGUGCCAG
rnacentral:rRNA from 1 species